AGCGGCGGACGGGUGAGUAACGCGUGGGUAACCUGCCUCAUACAGGGGGAUAACAGUUAGAAAUGGCUGCUAAUACCGCAUAAGACCACAGUACUGCAUGGUACAGUGGUAAAAACUCCGGUGUAUGAGAUGGACCCGCGUCUGAUUAGGUAGUUGGUGGGGUAACGGCCUACCAAGCCGACGAUCAGUAGCCGACCUGAGAGGGUGACCGGCCACAUUGGGACUGAGACACGGCCCAA
rnacentral:rRNA from 1 species